rnacentral:lncRNA from 1 species
GUUUAAAUGGCAUACAAGCGAUAUAUUGCAAAGCACGCCACGCCACUGUUUCAAUUCUAAUAAACUCGGGCCAAUUGUUGUCGUAUAAAUCUAGUUUUCUCAUGCAUUCUUGAAACUUGACUUUUGUCGGUUACGCCCUUCCGCAAGUAUCCCGUUCGAUUCACCUUGACUUUUGAUUGGGUUCCGAAGCAGGCUGAAAGUCCGCAAGGCGGGAAACUGCCGGCGAGGGAGGGCUGUGCAUGGCGGGAAGGGGGAGGGUGGGGAGAAAGCUGCGGAAAAGCGGCUGGGAGCAUUCCACGGCGCAUCGCGGCAUCACGCAUGUCAGCCGUGAUCGACUUAUUGCAUCUGACGUCAUCGCGCGGUGAGUCAGUUCAGACCGGGGGUUCGCCACGCCGCGCCGUGUUGUCAGGGAUGUGGACGUCACGUAACCUCCAAAGUUCGGUUCGGUUUGAAUUUUCGUUCGCACACAGCAAAUUACAGCUCCAUGAUCCGAUAGUACGGUCAGUAUAAAGCACCGUCAGUAGCGAUUCUGGUAAGAAGGCAACUUUGUUUUUCUCCAUUUAAAUUUAUGUGAAACAAUCGAUGCUUGGUGAGCCAGGUUGUCUCACCUAAAAUCGAUAUUUUUGAUGGAUUUGAAUUUAGGAAAAGAGUGUUGCCAACUCGCAAAAUUGACUCAGAGCACCGUACUCCAGUCCACGGAACUUAGCUGUUUCCUUAGUGAGAGUAGCGCAUAGCGGUGGAGAAUGUCAAGUCAAUGGAACGGUUGGCGAUAUGUCGUGGAGAAUAUGAAUGCCCGCCGUCACUUUGCAAGCGACAUGGGUGUUAUCAGAGAAACGCCACAGUUCACAUCGACGUGGUAAAACUUUUAUUGGUAAAAAACUUUCAUAGCACGCCCUCGGCCUAGAGCGCCUUCAAGCCCGGUGAUACUCUCCGCGUUACCACCAAGUUAGUUUAGUUGCCUAUCCGAACCAAUCCAACUAACACACUGAUCUCACUACAAGCACUCGUGAGUGCAUUGGCUGGUACCACGUAUUCAGAAGAAAAAUUCGUAUCUAACGUAAAACUACAAGACUACGCGUCUCGGUUUGCAACGUUGCAGACUUCCUGUUGUACUUUAUUUUUUAAAUGGACGACUAUUGAACGUCAAUUAUUGAAAACUUCCGUGAUUUAACUCUCUAUGAUUGAAUUUCUGUAAGAACUUCAAGGAACGAUACUGAUUUGUUGUCUUUCAAAAAAAAAAUAAAUAAAUAAAUAAAAUAGGAGCGGAGCUUUUUAAACAUAGCAAAAGAGAUACGCGGUCUGAUAGUUUUAUCGUCGAUAAUUUUGAACUUAAAACUUAAUAAUAAUCAAUACUUUCUAUCUUGAGCGUUUCUUUCCUUCUGAAUUUUCAAUUUUUUUUUUUUUUUUUUUUUUUUUUUUUUUUUUUUAUGCGACACUUGUGAAUAGAUUGCAAUUUGCCGGCGAUCGCUGAUACAGAUCGCAGAGGUUUGCAAGUGAUGGUUCCAUUGAUUUUCUCGGGAAAGAUUCCUCAUGGAACGUCCCUUAAAAUUGAAAAUGUUUCGAAAUAAACAUUUUUUCGGUUUCAGUCAAAAACUCCAUUUUCGACGACUGUGAAUGGCUCGUCCCACUGUGUAAAGGGCUCUAAAACACCUCGAUGGCCAAAGUGCCAAGUGCACGUAUCUCCAUUGCGGUGUUUGAAAAUCUCUGCUCCUCAUUUAUUUUUUCGAAGAGAAAUAAGUAGCUUGAAAUUUAUACGGAAUACUCUGUUAAUGGAGGGGAAAAAUCAAAUAAGUUCUCAUUACGUAAGUGGGCUAGUUUUCCGAUAAAAAAAUGCAGUACCAUAUGACCGGAAGUCUGCAAUGUCGCAAACGGAGUUAUGUGGUUUCGCACUGAGGUCAUCGAAAUAUGAAGGAUAUUGUCAAACAAUUGGACCGCGCUACGCAUGGAGGAGCCAAGCCCCAUCAGCUAAUGCAUUUAAUUCGGUAGCUGGAGUCCUCCACCAGAAGUCUUGAACAUGAUAAAAUACAGAUUUACCAAUAUCUGCAAUUCCCGUUGUGCCAGAGGCUUAUAGGACCUUCACUCCGAAACGCCCUCCCUCAACGCAAGAACUAAUGCUUUGAUCCGCAGCCUCAUUCACUUUAAUCACCCGGGUGAGAUUACGAGAUAGUAUGACUGAAUUUUUUGUGACGCACAGCGCACUCUGGUCGUCAUUAGUCAUAGAAAUCCGGGCGGUAAAGCUCACCCACCCCUCUUCGACGGGGAACGCACUCUCACUCCUUCCCGUCCGGUGAAAAAGUUAGGGUUGGGGAGUUGUUUGCGGAGGGACUACUAUCUGCAGACACUCAUCUGCAAUCCUCCGGGGAGGCUCAACAUGGCUCAUUAGACGGGAUUUCGUUAAUUCAAUAGGGCCCCGGGCCCUGCUCUCCGUCCCUGACUGGUGCGUCUGGUCUUGAUGCAACUGCUCAUCGUAUCCCUUUCGUUUAUUAGCCCGCGGGUGCACCAAAGUGGAACGUUCUAGCUGUAUUUGAUUUCCUCGAAAUCGUCUUCAUACACAUUCCACACGCCAGGCGUUCACUUUUUUCCGCAGGACCGUUUAGGACCUUUACUCCGUGCUAGGGAAGAACGCCAUAUGAACCUUCAGGCGUCGCCAAAUUUCUUUUGAUAAAACAAAAAUUUCUUGGUAAACUUGUGAAUAUUUUUCUUCAAAUUUUGCUAAUAAUUUUGCUCGCAAUUUCACCGAAAACUCCUAAAAAUUUCAAGGGAAAAUAUUCACAACUUUCUUAAAAAAUGAAAAUUUUACUAAUGAUGGAAAUUUGGCAACUAUCGGAUGUUUAUACGGCAUUCUUCCUCAGCACGGCAGUUUUGGUCCCUAUAGGCGCAAUGUAUGGCGCGAGUCCUCUUAAUAGCGAUAAAAUAGCUUAAUGUAUAAUUUUUAUGAAAUUCACAUCAUUUGGACUUCAUUUUCCACUUAGAAACUAAAAGUUCUGGCUCAUCCUUAAACUCUAGCUCUUACUUAAGUACAUACGGAAACUAACGGCACAUAUGUAUUUUCUAAACUGAGCCAAUAAUUGUAAUUCCGAAUUGCAAAAUGUGGUCCAUUUGAUUGUUUGACGGGGGAAAAUUAUGUGAAAACGUGGAAAGGAGGAGUAUCGAUAGGGGCCGUUUUUGGGCCCACUCUAGUUGAAUUGCCUCAACUUUACGAUUUUUCGCUCAUUGAAGGUAUAUAUGUAUAUUACAGACUACAUCAUGAUUGGGUCAUUUCCGGUCUUUCUUAGGGUCUAAUACUGGCCUAAAAAUAGGUCUGAGGGCCAAUUUUGACGGAAAAUCUGAAUUUUUCGGCAUUCGACCGCUUACCCUCCAUGACCGGAUUCUUCGCCAAAAUCGGCCUUCAGACCCAUAUCUAGGACAAAAAGAAAAGACCUGAAAAGAGACCAAAAAUGACCAAAUCAUGACAAAUUCCGUAAAAUAUAGACUUUCAAUGAGCAUAUAAUAAUUGCAGGGUUGCGGCAAUUCAACCAGGGUCCAAAAACGGCCCUUAUCGAUACCUUUUGUCAAAUUUAGAAAACUUUGGAACUUUGAGAUUUAAACGUAGGACAUCCUUAAAAGUUGACCAUUUGCACUGAGGCAUUUGCCAAAAUGCCUCCGGCGUUCCGUUUUUUCGUGAACGUUUUCCGACGAACAGGGCACCUCAAAGUGGGGGCUCCUUCUGAAUCAGAAAGAAUUUCACGUUCCGUUAGAGUCGUGAGAUCAGUGGGAUGAUUUCAACGAUGAUUUCACGAUCGACCCUCCGCGGAUGAGUUAAUCAUUCAGAUAAUCACCAAUGGAGAAUUUGCACCUAUUUUUUUUAAUUCAUUUUAUGAAAGUAGGGGAUGAAUUGACCUUCCAGGAAUUUUUUCCGAUUUUUUUGAGAUCGGGAACAUUUUUUAAUUUGAAAAUGAAAUUUGGGAUCCAGUUCGAAUUUGAAUUUCGCGCUCACGCCCGGUCUUCGUGACGUCAACUCGCGGCUAUCCGCCAUCGGCCUGCUGGAGCCCCAUUGCUUACCAUGUAAACUUUCGUCGUGCCGACUUCGUUUUUCGUGCUGUUUAGAAGUGUUUUUUAUUGGUUUUUGCGAUGAAACCCAUCUACAGGACCUGUUUUGUGCCCAGAUGCAAGAACACAUCGGUCAGUGCUCCCGAAAAGUUAUUUUUUUCCGUGCCGAAAGGACCCGAUCGGCACUCGUGGCAUAGAAUAAAUAGACUACGUCAACAGAAGCGAAAGCUCCGUAAGAACCAAUGUUAACAUUUUUCUGUGCAGAUUGAAACCAAUUUUGAGGUUACCUACAAAUAUAAAAGUGGAAAAAAACAUUAAAUUUUAAGCGAAUUUACAGUACUUCUUCGGUUUAACGAUAAAUAAGUUAAAAGAAAACU